ACCUUUCCUCACAUCGCCCAUUGGUGACCCACCACCUGGAUGGCACCCUUCCUCCCUCUGUCUCUCUGGAGUACUCACAUGUAAGGGGACACAUAGGGGGCGCAAAGAGAACCAAAUCCAAAUACAGAAUUAGAGCGGGGUCGCCACUGAGGACAGGUUCAAAAGGGGGGGGCCGAGGGAGGAACCAGACAUUUAGGGGUCAAGACCAAGACCAAGGCAGGGCGAGACCAAGACAAGACCAAGACAUUUAGGGAUCCAGACCGAGACAAGAUCAAGACAUUUAGGAAUCAAGACCAAGACAAGACCAAGGCAGACCGAGUAAAAAUGCUUUCGAUUCCAAGAUGAGACUGAGACCUUCAAAAAGCGGUCUCGAGACCAAAGACCGAUUUCGAGUACUACAACACUAAAGCAGAAUCUUUCAGGGAAAGUCUUCAUAUAUUCAGGUAGCCUCUUAUUAGUUCUUACAGAAUAAACACUUCAAUGGGAAAAUACUAGAAAUGGGAAAACAACCAAGAGGCACACACAGGUCAUAAACAAGGACACAUAACCCGAGACAGGGAGAGAGAUGGAGGGAUCAAGGUGGACCACCAGGUCUUUGGGUAAGUGAAAGACAAAGAACAUUCGUCCUUCCGUCUUCUCCUUUUUUUUAUUUGUAUUUUUUUUACCUGUCCGUCCAUGUUCCUUUCUGUUUAAACUUCAGCACUUUAGCUUUUUGGAAUCAGGCAUGUCUUGUUGUAAUCUCACACAGUAUGAUUCUUUGCGUACCUUUUUUUUUUUUUGUGUGUGUCUGUGAAUGUCCCUUUUGGUGAUUGUGUGCGCGUGCAGUCCUCUUUUUUAAUUCACAUAUUUAUUGUUGCCAGCAGAUGAUUUUUAAGCUACACAAGCCUAGAUGAAUUCUUCUCUUUCUCUCGGUGUGGCUCUGUGUUUGUAAUUUUUGGCUCAUCUGUUUUUUUUGGGGGGGGGGAUUGGGGGAAGAGUUCAGCUAUCCCUCUCUCCCCUUUUGUAGAUUGUAGUUGAUUGCUUUUAAGUUGAUUGGCCGUGCCCACGCCCCCACCCACCCUAUCCCCCGCCCCCAC